CAAAUGCCUGAAUAUUCUGUGAAUGGGAUAAUGAAAUAAGACCUCUGUUCUGCUUUCAUUGGUUUUCAGAUCAAGAGGUAAUGAUUAAUAGAAGCAGUUUGGGCGCAUUACUAUUACGACGCGAGACGUGAAAUUCUUGGACCGUACCUGUUGGGUUGUCCCAUUAUAAGGACACUAGCUUCUUAAAAGGACAAAUUGCGUCUAGCAAUAAUGAGAUUGAGCAAUAUCAGAGGUGUGCAUGUCCUGGGCUGCACGAACGCUACAAUGAAAGUAUCAACGUGUAUUUCCUAGACCGAGAGGUCCGGGUAAGCCGCUGAACCACUUUCAUGCUUGGGAUUGUGAACUGAAACUGUUCACAUGAACUUUGAAUUCCCAGUGAGUGUGAGUCAUUAACUCGCAUUGAUUACGUCCCUGCCCUUUGUACACACCGCCCGUCGCUACUACCGAUUGAAUUAUUUAGUGAGGUCUCCGGACGUGAUCACUGUGACGCCUUGCGUGUUAUGGUUGUUUCGCAAAAGUUGACCGAACUUGAUUAUUUAGAGGAAGUAAAAGUUGUAACAAGGUUUCCGUAGGUGAACCUGCGGAAGGAUCAUUA
rnacentral:ncRNA from 1 species